ensembl:lncRNA
AUUUGUGCUUAUGCUCUGUAGUGUCCGACUCUUUGCAACACUUGGGACUGUAGCCUGCCAGGCUCCUCUGUCUAUGGAGAUUCUCCAGGCAAGAAUACUGAAGUGGGUUACCAUUUCCUACUCCAGGGGAUCUUAAUCCGGAGAUUGUCUUAUGUCUCCCGCAUUGGCAGCUCCUCAGCAAUCACCUUGGGGGGUGGCAGCAUCUGCACCACCAUCGCUGCUGGACUACAGUUUUGGAGCCCUCAUUCACAUUGAGAGGUGUACAGCAUAGUGAAACACAACGAAGGAAUUUUUCAACAAAACAGAAAAGUAACUUACUGAAUGGGAGAAUAUAUUUGCAAGAAGGUUUUGUCAUAACAGCCUGACCUGGAAGAUGUCCUAAAGCAAGCCUCUAAAACGAGGGCAGUGUCAAAAAUGAGGAUUCCCUUGACACAUCUAUCUCUUUGGUUUGGGGAAACAAAGCAUCCUGCUUUCUUGGCAAUCUGCACUUCCUGAAACAGACUGCCUUCCUAGAGUUUGUCACAUUGAGAGCAGAACUCUUCCAAGUCUCUGGAAAUUUGGGAGAAUGAAGGGACAUUUGCAAGUAUAGCUUGAAAAGGCAUAUCAAUUCUAUUUUCCUUUGCAGAGGUGGUAAGCCAUUGCCUGUAGGACAUAUCUCAUCUGCUGCUUCUUUUUGUAAAUAUAAUUGUAUUGCCAUACAGAUAUGCUCAUUUGUUUAUCUAUUGUCUAAUGCUGCCCUUAUGCUCUAACAGCAGAGUUGUAUAGUUGCAAUGGAGGCUAUAUGGCACAAAAAGCUUAAAAUAUUUGCUGUUGGCUCCUUUAUAGAUAAAGUAAGUGUUCCAACCCUUGUUCUUCUCUGUUUCCAUAAUUUUAACUGAGGGUAUUGCUGAUCAUUAAAAGAGGAUCAGAUUAAAAGAUUAAUAAACAUUCUCAAGUGAAAAUAAAAUGAAGCAGAAGAUGG